rnacentral:rRNA from 1 species
GUCUAUAGCCAUGCCACCCUGAACGUGCCCAAUCUCAUCUAAUCUCGGAAGCUAAGUAGGGUCGGGCCUGCUUAGUACUUGGAUGGGAGACCAUCUAGGAAUACCAGGUGCUGUAGGCA